UUAAACACAUUGUCAAACACAUUCUUCUCAAUAUGCAUCACAUCUAGAUUAUGACGAAUCAAAUUUGUAGACCAAUACGGCAGUUCCCAAAAGAUGCUUCUCCGAACCCAGUUAUGAGAUUCACCAAACCCAUUGAUUAUGUUUGUGACAUCAACCUUACCAAAUGGGAUAACCGGCAAUCUCAUCACACGAUCUCGUAUCUCUGUUCCCGACAAUCGCGGUGCAGGCAUAUCAUUAUCUACUUUCCCUUUCCUGAAGUGUUCUCUAUUUCUUCGAAAUGGGUGAUCUACCGGUAAG
rnacentral:lncRNA from 1 species